GUACACGCUGUGACUAGCAUAUCAAUAAGCGGAGGAAAAGAAACUAACAAGGAUUCCCCUAGUAACGGCGAGUGAAGCGGGAAGAGCUCAAAUUUGAAAUCUUAAAGGGUUUCCCUUUACGAAUUGUAGUUUAAAGAAGUGUUUUCUGUUGAGGUUUUGGUAAAAGUUCUUUGGAAUAGGACAUCAUAGAGGGUGAGAAUCCCGUAUUUGACCUUUACUUUCAACUUUGUGAUACACUUUCAAAGAGUCGGAUUGUUUGGGAAUGCAGUCCAAAAUGGGUGGUAAAUUUCAUCUAAAGCUAAAUAUUGGCGAGAGACCGAUAGCGGACAAGUACCGUGAGGGAAAGAUGAAAAGAACUUUGAAAAGAGAGUUAAACAGUACGUGAAAUUGUCAAAAGGGAAGCGUUUGACACCAGUGUUGUUUUUCUGAAAAUCAAUUAAAGAACUGCUUAUGCUAAGCUGUUUAGACUUUAUCAGCUAUACUGUUUAGUUUUGAGCUUUUCUUUAAUGCACUUUUCAGUUAACAAGUCAACAUCAAUUUCUUUUGCUGUAAAAAAGCUUGAGGAAGGUGGCUUGAGAUUCGUCUUAAGUGUUUAUAGCCUCUUGCCUAUGCAGUCGGAGAGAUUGAGGUCUGCAGCGUAGAUCCUUCGGGGCUAAAUGCAUUUGUGCUAAGUUAUAGCAUUUUAUAGACAACUUGUUGACUAUGAUUUGUCUUGUAGCUUACUCGCUUAUGUUAUUUUACCUACGCUUAGGAUGUUGAAGAUGUAGCACAUCAU
rnacentral:rRNA from 1 species